UGAAUUCUGUAUACCAUAGUCAUAAGUUAGUUUAAUAAACUGGUACAGUAAUUGUCCAGAGUAUGAAUUAACAAGUUAAAGCUUUUAUAUAAUUCCUGCUAUAAAAUGCACUUUUAAUUUAUCUUGUAUCUUUGUACAUGUAAAUAACAAGCAUUUUAUCAAAAUUUUAAUAUAUUUUAGAAAUACUUCAUCAUGUUAUCUGGUGUGCCACAAUGCUAUUGUAAAUCUUUGUGAUCCCUUAACUCUGUCUCAAGAUAUUAAACAUGCAGUCCAUUUUCUUCAAUUAUUCAGAAUUAAUUUUAGAAAUAUUUUUUCAACAAUGUUCAUUUAAUACAACUAUAAAAAAAACCCCAAAAUUUCUCCUUUGGAACUCCCCAUCUGAUUACAUACACAGCUAAAAAGUUUAUCGGGAUUAUGCAUUGCAAGUGACAUGAAAGUACCUGGAUGAUAACAUUAAAAAAUUGUGCAAGGUGUUCCAAAUGGACUCCCAAAAAGAUGUCAGAUUUUCCCCAGUAUAAACUUAGAUUUUUCGCAAGAAGUUGUAUUUUGUUUGUGUGGACUUCCUUGGUAAAAGUAGAUAAAAUGUCAAUGAAGAAAUCUUGGAAUUAAUCCUUUUUCUUGUUUUCAAUUGGUAUGUGUAUUUUCUUUUAAAAACAAUAACUUGGAACACAUUAUAUAGUAAUCCAUACAAGGAACUAUUGAGUUUAUAUCUUAUUAUAAUAUUCUUGGUGUAUAGAAUUGCAACGGGUACGAGUAUAGCUUUUUAUCUGUAUCUUAUAUUUGUAACUUCAUAUCAACUGCCAUCAAAUGCUUGUCCAGAUUGUUUAGUUUUGUGUAAUAAUAACAACAGGUACAUGUAUUUAUAUAGCUAUUUUACAAUAUAUUGCAUGACAAGCACAGUAUGCUUGAUUUUUGCGCACUUACAAUUUACAUGAGAACUUUGUUUUUUUAUAAUGCUUUUAUUCAAAUAAAUAAAUCACAUGCUUAUAG
rnacentral:misc_RNA from 1 species